rnacentral:rRNA from 2 species
UACGGAGGGUGCAAGCGUUGUUCGGAAUCACUGGGCGUAAAGGGCGUGUAGGCGGUCCGCUAAGUCUGAUGUGAAAGCCCGGGGCUCACCCCCGGAAGGGCAUUGGAAACUGGCGGACUCGAGUCCCGGAGAGGAAGGUGGAAUUCCUGGUGUAGCGGUGAAAUGCGUAGAUAUCAGGAGGAAUACCGGUGGCGAAGGCGGCCUUCUGGACGGUGACUGACGCUGAGACGCGAAAGCGUGGGGAGCAAACAGG